AACGAACGCUGGCGGCAGGCUUAACACAUGCAAGUCGAGCGCCCCGCAAGGGGAGCGGCAGACGGGUGAGUAACGCGUGGGAAUCUACCCAUCUCUACGGAAUAACGCAUGGAAACGUGUGCUAAUACCGUAUACGUCCUUCGGGAGAAAGAUUUACCGGAGAUGGAUGAGCCCGCGUUGGAUAAGCUAGUUGGUGGGGUAAAGGCCUACCAAGGCGACGAGCCAUAGCUGGUCUGAGAGGAUGAUCAGCCACACUGGGACUGAGACACGGCCCAGACUCCUACGGGAGGCAGCAGUGGGGAAUAUUGGACAAUGGGCGCAAGCCUGAUCCAGCCAAGCCGCGUGAGUGAUGAAGGCCCUAGGGUUGUAAAGCUCUUUCUCCGGUGAAGAUAAUGACGGUAACCGGAGAAGAAGCCCCGGCUAACUUCGUGCCAGCCGCCGCAGUAAUAC
rnacentral:rRNA from 1 species